GUGAGUGCUUUGGGGUGGGGUGACUGCGUACCUUUUGUAUAAUGGGUCAGCGACUUAUAUUCUGUAGCAAGGUUAACCGAAUAGGGGAGCCGGAGGGAAACCGAGUCUUAAUUGGGCGUUAAGUUGCAGGGUAUAGACCCGAAACCCGGUGAUCUAGCCAUGGGCAGGUUGAAGGUUGGGUAACACUAACUGGAGGACCGAACCGACUAAUGUUGAAAAAUUAGCGGAUGACCUGUGGCUGGGGGUGAAAGGCCAAUCAAACCGGGAGAUAGCUGGUUCUCCCCGAAAGCUAUUUAGGUAGCGCCUCGUGAAUUCAUCUCCGGGGGUAGAGCACUGUUUCGGCUAGGGGGCCAUCCCGGCUUACCAACCCGAUGCAAACUGCGAAUACCGGAGAAUGUUAUCACGGGAGACACACGGCGGGUGCUAACGUCCGUCGUGAAGAGGGAAACAACCCAGACCGCCAGCUAAGGUCCCAAAGUCAUGGUUAAGUGGGAAACGAUGUGGGAAGGCCCAGACAGCCAGGAUGUUGGCUUAGAAGCAGCCAUCAUUUAAAGAAAGCGUAAUAGCUCACUGGUCGAGUCGGCCUGCGCGGAAGAUGUAACGGGGCUAAACCAU
rnacentral:rRNA from 1 species